rnacentral:rRNA from 1 species
UACAUAGGGGGCAAGCGUUAUCCGGAAUUAUUGGGUGUAAAGGGUGCGUAGACGGAGAAACAAGUUGGUUGUGAAAUCCCUCGGCUCAACCGAGGAACUGCAACCAGAACUAUUUCCCUUGAGUGUCGGAGAGGAAAGUGGAAUUCCUAGUGUAGCGGUGAAAUGCGUAGAUAUUAGGAGGAACACCAGUGGCGAAGGCGACUUUCUGGACGAUAACUGACGUUGAGGCACGAAAGUAUGGGGAGCAAACAGG